UUAGAAGCCGCAGAAUGAUAGUUGGUCGUUUUUGUUAAUGUUUAUCUUAUUAACGGAACUGUAAUUUAAAGUGGUUCUACUCCGUGAGAUUGGCAUAAUAAAUCGUAAUAUUUUACUUUUUAAAAUGAACUUAAUAAUUAUAUUCUGUUAAAGUGCUAGCUUGAAGCGUUGGUGCACGUAAAACGUUUCCGUCGAGUGUGUGAAACUAGCUACUACAUUCUUUCUACUCUUCAUCUUCCAAACAAAUACGCCCAUGAUAUAAUGUAAAUCGCUGACCAAAUCAAAUAGUAAAUACAAAGUGUUUAAUUAAAAUGGGUUGCGCUCAAAGUGAGAUAUCUCCACAAAAUGAAACUCCUCGUAAAGGCUGCACUGAUGUCUUGUGGCUUGUUAUUUAUGUUAUUUUUUGGAUUUUGAUGAUAAUAAUCGCCGCUAUAUCUUUCGUGUACGGCAAUCCACAACGACUAAUAAACGGCUAUGAUUCAUUUGGUAAUACAUGUGGUGUUAAAAGUAACAAGAAAUUAAUUAACUUACCACUAGCCGGAAUAAGCACAGCAGACAAAAGCUACUUAUUUUUUAUGGAUAUCAAAGAGUUGAGACGAUCACUAAAGAUAUGUGUGAAACAAUGUCCUAAUAAGAAAAUGGAGUCCUUUUCUGAUAUCCAAAACUUUUACAAGGCAACAGGAUCUAAUCUUUGCACAUAUGACUUUAAUGUAACAACUUUAACACAUACAAACAACUUGCAUAAUUUUAUUGGACCUUGCCCUACUUUGCCAGUCUACGAUUCCUUCCCUCUACUCAAUAGGUGCUUCCCUAAAUCCGCAACAGAUUUGGCUCAGAAAGUCUUCACAGAUUUUUAUGCUUUGCUAAACAGUUGGGAUACAAUUGAACAGAGCUUGUCAGAUCUUUACUCUUCUUGGAAAGAAAUGAUUAUAUGUGUUAUAAUUGCAUUUAUAUGCUCACUGAUCAUGGUUUCUAUUUUACAUUUGUUGGCGAGUCUUGUGUCAUGGAUAUUUAUGAUUAUUGUAUCAAUAGCCAGUGUGGCGGGAACUGCUCUAUUGUGGUACACAUACCAUGAGCUUCAAACUAAGCAAAAGGAUUUCUCAGACACAACUUUGUUUCUUGCCGAGUCACUUAAAAACGAGAAGGCAUUUUUGUGGUAUUCUAUUAUUGCAACUAUAAUCACACUAAUUUUGCUUCUGUUGGUUUGGGUGAUGCGUUCACGUGUGUCAUUCCUGGCAGCUUUAUUUAAAGAAACUGCACACUGUCUGGGAUCUAUUCCAGCACUCUUCUUGCAACCAAUAAUAACCUUUUUCUUCCUUGUGCUGUUCUUCACAUUUUGGUCAUUUGUUGUGGUGUGUUUAGCAACAGCAAAUUACCCUGGCAUACCAUAUAAAACGAAUUUCUUUUACAAUGGUACAACUUUACCCGACCUUGUGGACAAUGCUGCAAUAGAAGCACAAAAUAUUAAUAAGAGUGCUAGCCUUAAGAGUUAUAUUCUAGAUCCGAUAGAGUUUGAUCCAAUGUGGGUCAAGAGCAUGUGGUGGAUGUGCCUAAUCUGCCUGGUGUGGGGCAGCGAGUUCAUACUAGGCUGCCAGCAGAUGACCAUUGCGGGCGCCGUGUCACACUGGUACUUUAGGGGACCAAACGCAAAUCCUUCGCCCGUGCUGUAUUCCAUCGGAAAGCUUCUGAAAUAUCAUUUGGGAUCCGUCGCAAAAGGAUCGUUUUUGAUCACACUGUUCAAGGUUCCAAGACUGAUUCUUACGUAUUUACACGCUAAAAUGUCAGCAAGAGCCGAGAAGGGCUCGGAUUGCGCCAAAUGCGGUCUGAAGUGUUGCAUCUGCUGUUUCUACUGCUUCGAGAAGUUCAUACGUUACUUGAACCACAACGCAUAUACAAUCAUAACAAUCGAAAGGUGCCACUUUUGCAAAGCUGCGGCGAAGGCAUUCAGCACCAUAGUGAACAACGCGUUGCAAGUGGCCACCAUCAACAGCGUCGGCGAUUUCAUCCUGUUCUUGGGCAAAUGUAUCGUCACCGCAGUGACCGGCAUCGUGGGUUUACUACUUCUCAAACGCAACUCCGACCUGCAUUUCUUUGCCGUGCCCACGCUCGUCAUCUGCAUCUUUUCCUUCUUCAUCGCACAUUGUAUACUUUCGUUGUACGAGAUGGUUGUCGACUCGCUAUUCCUAUGCGUUUGCGAGGACCGCAAUAUGAACAGUGGGGACGGGCAGUGGAAGAAUUCGCGGCUCGCAGAGUUGGGCGGACACCGUGCGGACCGCGUUGAGCUGGAAGAACUGCAAGAGAAGUACUGAGCGCUAUACUGAUUGUGCAUGUUGUUCGAUGUGCGGGCUUUGGUGGUUGUGCGAGAUAAAUCUCUUUUAUCAAGACUACAGAGUAUCGACUAAGGGACACAGAUGUUCUUAUUUUUUUUUAAUUGUGUCUUUUUUACAAUUUUAUCACGCUACUCUAACGUUACUUGCAGCUUAACAUUGUUUACAAUUUACAUUUUUAUACUUUUAUUUUACUAUGUCGUUUAAGUUAUUAAGUAGAUGAUAAGAAAAUCCAUUGUAUAAGCCCAGUUAUACAUUUUUUUAAUUUUUAACGUUAGUUAGGUAAAUACAUGUUCCCCAUCAAAUUAUGAUAGGGAAAUCUUAAAUGCUCGAAAAGUUUUAUUUUAUAUUAGCAUAGUUCGGAGGCAUAAUAUCAUGUAAUACAAAAUAAGAUUUUAAAAUGUUUAUCGACUGUUUUAAAUCAAAAAAUGUAAUUCAAUUCAAAAUUCAUUUAUUUCAAGUAGGCCUAAUUAAUAAGCACUUUUGAAACGUCAAGUCAGUCUGUUUGUAGUGACUCUACCACCGGUUCGGAACGUAUUCGCGAUUCGCGAAGGCGUUCGGGAUUGUAAACAAUUUCAUAACGUAACUGUGGUUAAAGGACGAUAUCACUUAUUGACCUUUUAAUAUAACUUAGCUUUGUGUAGACACAUUCGAACAUUUCUUUUCCAGGUUCCAGAUAGAAAACUCUGCUUUAAUUUAUGAUAGGUACCAGUUACUCAAUUAGUUUUCUUCGAUAAUUUCAAUAUCCCGGCUUCUACUUGGUAGAUUUAAAGUAACAGACUAUAUCCUGUUGCUUGCGACUUUAUCCGCGUUUAUUCGGUUUUUUGAACAUUUUGUUUACCGCAGGAAGCUGUUUUCAUAGACUGAAAAUUAUUCUACCUCUGGAUGCAAUCUAUUCGAAUUUUUUUUGGAUUUAUUCGAUCAGUUUGGAUGUUAUGCCUUUUAUAUGGAAUAAUGGCUUUCAUUAAAAAUCCAACUAAACUGUUCCAGCUGCCAGUUUCGAGAUAAAAAGCUACAUAUAUUUUUUAUCAUUAUUCGUAUAAAACAAAGUUGAGGGUCCAAUGUGUCUACUUUAUCGCGAAAUUAAACGUUUAUUAGCCCUUUGACAGUUUUAAUUUAUUUAUACAAGUACAACUUAUUGUAAGUAAAAUCUCAACUAUUUUAAGGAAUAUUUAGGAGUGAAGUUUGUCAACCAUUCCAUUGUAUGUCAAUGUAGAAAAUGUAAUAAAUCAAAAUAAAUAUUAAACACCUGAUAGGUACGAUUUUACGUGCACAUCACUGAGGUGCUAUUAGUAACAUAGAGGCUUAUGAUUUUUGAUAAAUAAGACUAUUUAUAUGAAUCUUUACAAAUGUAUAACCCAUCUUCCGAUAUAUGUACUUGGUUCUAGAAUAUCUGACAACAUUGCAUUUGUGUUUUAAUAAAUUACAACACAAUCAAAUCAAAUUACCCAUUUUCUUGAUAAAAUAGCCUUUAUUGCAGAAAACAGAUCACAGAAUGUUCCUGGUUUUGGUGUGCCUUUUGGCAAAGGCCUCAUCCAUUUUACGGAUCUGUCCAUUGGACUGUGUCGCGACUUUUUUUUCCAUAAAACUCAAAAUGUUUAAAGGAUAUCUAUUUGUUAGUGCUUCGUAAUUCAUGAAAAUGCAUAAAAUACCUUAUUUAGGAACAUAUCGUAUAAUUUGAAUGAAUUUUUUGCAUAAUGAAUACAAAUAAAUAAUAUGUAGAAUUAUAAAAAAAAACAAAUAUUUGUCACAAAUUUAUUUUUAUAUAAUAAAAUGAAUUGAAUGCAAUUCCGUCCUCUUGACUGUAUUCUGCCUCAUAUUUUACACUUUUCUGUAGAGAAUCAUUGUUUAAUUCAACAUAUAUUGUAGAUCUUUUUUUAGUUUGCAGAAUAUUAAAAAUGAAACUUCUUUGAAAAUCAUAUGAUUCAAAGAAUUCAAACAAAAUACUUGCAACAAGUUUUUUCAUAAUGCUAUAAGCUUGAUUCUCAUUUACAUUAUUCAUUUACAUAAAUGCAUUUACAAGUUUAUAUAAAGUUAACGUUA